AAAUGCGAUAAGUAAUGUGAAUUGCAGAAUUCAGUGAAUCAUCGAAUCUUUGAACGCACAUUGCGCCCGUCAGCAUUCUGGCGGGCAUGCCUGUUCGAGCGUCAUUUCAACCCUCAGGACCCCCCUUUCGCGGGGAGGGACCUGGCGUUGGGGAUCGGCCCGCCCCCCGCGGCGGCGCCGUCCCCGAAAUCUAGUGGCGGUCUCGCUGCAGCCUCCCCUGCGUAGUAGUUACAACCUCGCAUCGGAGCGCGGCGCGGUCACGCCGUAAAACCCCCGACUUUCUGAACGUUGACCUCGGAUCAGGUAGGAAUACCCGCUGAACUUAAGC
rnacentral:misc_RNA from 1 species